UUACGUGCCGGCUGUUAAACUUGCAGCCGAACGGAGAAGCCAGUUAGUUGGUGGUAGUGGGCGAACGGGUGGAGUAACACGUAGAGCAACCGGCCUCGGAUUCGGGAUAAGCGCUGGAAACGGCGUCUAAUACUGGAUAUCGAGGCGUUGAUUCGCAUUGGUCAACGUGUGGAAAGAUUUUUACGGUGCUAGGGAUGGGCUUCGCGGGCCUGUGCACCUUGUUGGUUGAGGUUAAUAGGCUUCACCAAGGACGUGCUACGGGUAAGCCCGGCCUGGAGUAGGGUCGUACCGGCCACACUGGGAACUGGAGACACGGCCCAGACUACCUCACGGGCAGGACAGCUAGAUGGGGGAAUCAUUUGCACCAAUGAAGACGGGAAGCCUUGAUGGCAGACAAACGCCCGACGUGAAGCGGGAUAGGAACUGGCUCUUUUCGGAGUUUAGUAAAACCCUCCUUUUUUCAGCCAGAGGCAAUAAAUCCGAAAAGUUGAACGGAUCACCCUCGCAAGUAAAAAAAACGUCGCUGACUUAAACUAACCGUUUGCCCCAGCCCUGGCCCGAAGGAUAAAUUACCGUUAAGGUGACUCCAAAACCCGUUUUCAUUCCCGGGAAAAUUUUAUUUUGGGGGUCCGUUAAAAAAGAAGGCUUCCGGUCAAGGCCGGGGUUUUAGGUUCCUCCGUUUCUUCGCCUCGGUAGGAAAAAAUUCCCCCCGGAACGGCCUUCCAAAACCCUUUCUCGUGAGCCCCUUGGC
rnacentral:rRNA from 1 species